rnacentral:rRNA from 1 species
AUGGCUGAGGAAACCAAACCAAAGAAGCAAAAAGAUGAGGAACGCAUUAUAAACGGUCUCCCAGGAGAACUCAUUGAGCGGAUAUUUUUGAAGCUUCCAGUGAGCACUUUGUUGAGGUGCACUGGUGUCUGCAAGGAAUGGCACAAAAUCAUCCGAGAUCCCCAGUUUGUCACCUCUCACCUCCAGGAUGCGCCCCAAUGUGCUUUCCUAUUCUUCCCACAAGAGUCGAUCUCAGGAAAGCUCUAUCCUGCUGAUGCUAUCCUGAUUGAUGAGACCUGGUCACAGUCGGCAUGUGCAGUGCCAGUGGUUGGCCCUGGUGAUUCCCUUUGUGGUUCAUGCAACGGGCUUCUUUGCUUAUACACAAAGUCAUCAACACUCAAGAUAGCAAACCUUGCAACGGGUGAAUGUCUGCAUCUUGAUAAACCUGUAAAGAAUUUAAGGGGUGAUUACUUCUUGUAUAACUUUGGAUUUCACCCAGUGACAAAAGAAUACAAGAUUAUACACUUCCUUGGUGAUUCUGUCGAGGGCCACCCUCUCCAUAAUAAUAGCAGAUUCAGAGUCGUUCAAGUUUACACACUUGGUGAUGACAAAUGGAGAGAUAUUAAAACUCCAGAAGCCCUAAGUUUAAACUGUGUAAAAAACUCUGGAGCAGUUAAUAUUGGUGGAACAAUGUACUGGCUAACUGAAGACAUGGUAGCUACCUGGCAGCAUGCAGUUAUGACCUUUGAUCUCAGUGAAGAAAAUUUUGCACGGAUACAACUGCCAGCAACUGUGCUUGAAGACUCUGCAGGUGAUGGGCCUCGUCGGUACUGGGUUAGAGAGAUUGAUGGGAAGAUAUGUAUAGCAACGGCUCAAACCUGUUCCUUUCAGCCCAGAAGGCUUUGUUGGGAUAAGAUCAUAUUGCAACGUCGUGACCGUAACCUAUAUUCCUUUGAGUUGCUUGGGGACAACUCCAAUACUAAAUUGUGUAAGAUGGCAAAGCUGUUAGAUUUCAGGCCCCACAAGCCUGACAACAUGCAAUCCUACAUCUGUAUGAAGUCACUUAUACGCUUAGAUGUAUACAAGAAGGCUGGCAUUGUUCGUAGGCCAAAACAGCGGGGAGUGUGGGAAUUGAAGAAGUGGGAGGCGUGGGAGCACAAGCCCUCUGAGAAUGAAAGAAUAUGGACCGAUACUCAUCGAGACGAGCAUGAGGGAGCUGCACAUGCACAAUGCUAUCGCACAAUGAUCAAUGGUGUGCUGCCGCGUAUAUUGAAUGACACGAUUCAACUGGAAAUAGGCAUGAAAAUCAAUCAAAUAUUUCCGAACAUUCCAGAUCAGUGUACCCUUAUUGUUGUUUCAACACAUUUCUUGCAUGAGACUCCAGUAGCCAAGGCCCCUCCGGCAGCUUAA